rnacentral:rRNA from 1 species
UACGGAGGGUGCAAGCAUUGAUCGGAAUUACUGGGCGUAAAGGGCGCGUAGGCGGUCUUUUAAGUCAGACGUGAAAUUCCAGGGCUCAACCCUGGAGCUGCGUUUGAAACUACAAGACUAGAGUUCAGUUAGGGUAAACGGAAUUCCACGUGUAGCGGUGAAAUGCGUAGAUAUGUGGAAGAACACCGGUGGUGAAGACGGUUUACUGGGCUGAAACUGACGCUGAGGCGCGAAAGCAUGGGGAGCAAACAGG